rnacentral:misc_RNA from 1 species
CCGAGUUACAAACUCAUCAACCCAUGUGAACAUACCUUAAACUGUUGCUUCGGCGGGAUACAGCCCGGCCCUUCUGCUGCACAACGGACCAGCACCCGCCGGAGGACCCUAACUCUUGAUUUUAUACUGAUUAUCUGAGUAACCUAAGGCAAAUAAAUGAUCA